GUCUACGGCCCAUGCCACCCUGAGUAAGCCUGAUCCCGUCUGAUCUCGGAAGCUAAGCAGGAUCAGACCUGGUUAGUACUUGGAUGGGAGAAAACCGAGGAAGACCUGGUGCUGUAGGCA
rnacentral:rRNA from 1 species